rnacentral:lncRNA from 1 species
AUUCAAAGCUCUGUUUUCUAAAUUAGCAUCUUUGUCGGGUUCUUCGUUCAAGGUAUUCUGCAACGGAAGCUAUUUAAGGAGGGCAAAGAGUUGAGGGUACCAGAAAGCAUUUAGGUCAAUAUGGGUGCAUUACUGACCUCACUAUUCAUCAACAGGAUAUUAUUUUGAUGUGCAUCAACAUCCUCCUUUGAACCUGACUCGGACUUUGAUUUAUCCGUAAGAGCAUGAUUGAUGGAAUGGCUAUAAGGUUUGUUCUUCAACAUGAUCGAUGGAAGAUGGUCAACAUCCCAAUUAAGAACCUUAC